rnacentral:tRNA from 1 species
AGUCCCGUGGGCGAACAGUCAAGCCGUCAGCCCCUCAAGCUGAAGAUGCGGGUGCAAUUCCCGUCGGGACUU